rnacentral:rRNA from 1 species
AGCGAACGCUGGCGGCAUGCCUAACACAUGCAAGUCGAACGAACCUUUCUGGUUUAUUUGCGGACGGGUGAGUAACACGUGGGAACGUUCCUUUAUGUUCGGAAUAACUCAGGGCAACUUGUGCUAUUACCGAAUGUGCGCUUCUGGGGAAUGAUUUCUCGCCUUUCGAGCGUCCCGCUUCGGAUUUGCUAUUUCGUUGAGGUAAUGGAUCACCAAGGCGACGAACAUUAGCUGGGCUGAGAGGAUGCUCAGCAACAUUGGGACUGAGACCCGGACGAAACUCCUAGGGGAGGAAGAAAUGGGGAACCUUGAGCAAUGGGCGAAAGAAUGAGGCAGCCGGGCCGCGUGAAUGAGGAAGUUGUUAGGAUUGUAAAAUUGUUUCAAAGGCGCAGAUAGUGACGGUACCCGGAGAAGAAGCCACGGCUAACUACGUG